rnacentral:misc_RNA from 1 species
UCCGGUUUGUCACCGGCAGUCUCCUAUGAGUCCCCAACUUAAUGCUGGCAACAUGCGACGGGGGUUGCGCUCGUUGCGGGACUUAACCCAACAUCUCACGACACGAGCUGACGACAGCCAUGCACCACCUGUGAUCCUGCCCCGAAGGGAAACCCUGUUUCCAGGGUGGUCAGGAACAUGUCAAGCCCAGGUAAGGUUCUUCGCGUUGCGUCGAAUUAAACCACAUGCUCCUCCGCUUGUGCGGGCCCCCGUCAAUUUCUUUGAGUUUUAGUCUUGCGACCGUACUCCCCAGGCGGUGCACUUAACGCGUUAGCUCCGGCACGGGGAGGGUCAAAUCUCCCCACACCAAGUGCACACCGUUUACAGCUGGGACUAC